rnacentral:lncRNA from 12 species
CUAUUCUCAGCCGGAAGGAGGCUCCAUCCCAAAUUGCCCUCAAGAUACGUUUUUUCCUCCCUGUUAAAUAGUUGACACCUUUUGUUAUACAAAUUCACCCCUUGUAUUCCUAGUCCUUGCAGGCAUUCCUGUUUCCAAAGUGAGUUCCAGACUGGAUUCCAGAGAUGGCCAACCUGAGGAACCCCUUCUCACAGGUGCAAGAGGGAAAGCCUGACCUUUCACCCUGCCCCUGCAAUGACCUCAACCUUGCUCAUGUGGACCACCCUCCAGGCUACCCCUAAUGCAGACCCAUGAUCAUCUCUCCAGGUUGGCUGCUGAAUUGCAGGAGAAGAUGAACCUGAAAUUGAAGGGUUAUUGCAACACAGUUUUUUAAUCGAAAGAUGAAGGUUAUUUAGCUUUUGUUGUUGCCUUUAAGUUUGUUAAUGAAAAGAUGAAAACUAGUAUUGAUGACAGUGAAGUCCAGUGUGCCCAAAAAUU